GCAAGUCGAGGGGCAGCAUUACUUUCGGGUAGAUGGCGACCGGCGCACGGGUGCGUAACGCGUAUGCAACCUGCCUUAUACAGGAGGAUAGCCCAUGGAAACGUGGAUUAAUACUCCAUAGUAUCUUAAAUCCGCAUGGAUUUAAGAUUAAAACUACGGUGGUAUAAGAUGGGCAUGCGUAUGAUUAGGUAGUUGGUGAGGUAAUAGCUCACCAAGCCGACGAUCAUUAGGGGUUCUGAGAGGAUGAUC
rnacentral:rRNA from 1 species